rnacentral:lncRNA from 1 species
AUCACUAACUAGUUCAUCCUUAAAAAUACAUUAGGCUCCCCCGUGUCACUCUCUAUCAGGUCAACCAUGGGUGAAACUGAGUCCCGUGGAAGAGGGGCCAGAUGUUACUGGGGAAGGACCGGGUGACCCUAUAGUGGCACCUGGUUGUAUGAUGGGGUACCAUAUUAUACUAUGGCGGUGCUAGAUGAUCGGUGGAGGGACAGGAUUAUAUCGAGAUGACACUAAAUCCUCUCGUU